AACUGCGAGUGAAGCGGGAAAAGCUCAAAUUUAAAAUCUGGYGGUCUUURGGCCRUCCGAGUUGUAAUUUAGAGAAGCGUCUUCCGCGCCAGACCGUGCACAAGUCUCCUGGAAUGGAGCGUCAUAGAGGGUGAGAAUCCCGUCUUUGGCAUGGAACCYCUGGUGCUUCUGUGAUGCGCUCUCGAAGAGUCGAGUUGUUUGGGAAUGCAGCUCAAAAUGGGUGGUGAACUCCAUCUAAAGCUAAAUAUUGGCGAGAGACCGAUAGCGAACAAGUACCGUGAGGGAAAGAUGAAAAGCACUUUGGAAAGAGAGUGAAACAGUACGUGAAAUUGUUGAAAGGGAAACGCUUGGAGUCAGUCGCGUUGGCCAAGACUCAGCCUUGCCUCGGCUUGGUGUACUUCUUGGCCGACGGGCCAGCAUCGAUUUUGCCCCUCAGAUAAUGGCGAGGGAAAGGUGGCACCUUUGCRGGUGUGUUAUAGUCCCUUGUCGCAUGUGAGGGGUGGGAUCGAGGAACUCAGCACGCACCUUUUGGUGUCGGGGCUUCGGCCC
rnacentral:rRNA from 1 species